CUUCCUUGAUCGAGUGGCGAACGGGUGAGUAACGCGUGAGGAACCUGCCUCAAAGAGGGGGACAACAGUUGGAAACGACUGCUAAUACCGCAUAAGCCCACGGCUCGGCAUCGAGCAGAGGGAAAAGGAGCAAUCCGCUUUGAGAUGGCCUCGCGUCCGAUUAGCUAGUUGGUGAGGUAACGGCCCACCAAGCGACGAUCGGUAGCCGGACUGAGAGGUUGAACGGCCACAUUGGGACUGAGACACGGCCCAGACUCCUACGGGAGGCAGCAGUGGGGAAUAUUGCACAAUGGGGGAAACCCUGAUGCAGCGACGCCGCGUGGAGGAAGAAGGUCUUCGGAUUGUAAACUCCUGUUGUUGAGGAAGAUAAUGACGGUACUCAACAAGGAAGUGACGGCUAACUACGUGCCAGCAGCCGCGGUAAAACGUAGGUCACAAGCGUUGUCCGGAAUUACUGGGUGUAAAGGGAGCGCAGGCGGGAGAACAAGUUGGAAGUGAAAUCCAUGGGCUCAACCCAUGAACUGCUUUCAAAACUGUUUUUCUUGAGUAGUGCAGAGGUAGGCGGAAUUCCCGGUGUAGCGGUGGAAUGCGUAGAUAUCGGGAGGAACACCAGUGGCGAAGGCGGCCUACUGGGCACCAACUGACGCUGAGGCUCGAAAGUGUGGGUAGCAAACAGGAUUAGAUACCCUGGUAGUCCACACCGUAAACGAUGAUUACUAGGUGUUGGAGGAUUGACCCCUUCAGUGCCGCAGUUAACACAAUAAGUAAUCCACCUGGGGAGUACGACCGCAAGGUUGAAACUCAAAGGAAUUGACGGGGGCCCGCACAAGCAGUGGAGUAUGUGGUUUAAUUCGACGCAACGCGAAGAACCUUACCAAGUCUUGACAUCCUGCGACGCACAUAGAAAUAUGUGUUUCCUUCGGGACGCAGAGACAGGUGGUGCAUGGUUGUCGUCAGCUCGUGUCGUGAGAUGUUGGGUUAGUCCCGCAACGAGCGCAACCCUUAUGGUCAGUUACUACGCAAGAGGACUCUGGCCAGACUGCCGUUGACAAAACGGAGGAAGGUGGGGAUGACGUCAAAUCAUCAUGCCCUUUAUGACUUGGGCUACACACGUACUACAAUGGCGUUAAACAAAGAGAAGCAAGACCGCGAGGUGGAGCAAAACUCAGAAACAACGUCCCAGUUCGGACUGCAGGCUGCAACUCGCCUGCAUGAAGUCGGAAUUGCUAGUAAUCGUGG
rnacentral:rRNA from 1 species